GGGGAGCCUCCGGUAGGUGAAAAUUUAAGUGCGGAGUUUGAGAGUGAUUGUGGAAAAGGGACCAGCUGAGGAAGAAUCUGGUUAAACCCCUGCAGCUGGUUUAAGUUACAUCCCUGUUCAGGGAAGAGAGCUGGGGACUGCUGACUUAAGAUAUACAAAGCUCUGCAGUAUUGAGGAGAACUGGGCACUCAAGGGCUAAAAAGGAGCAGCUGUAUAAAAUAUAACCCUAGCUCUAGAAAUGAGGCUCUGAUGGCCUCCUGAACAGGGUAAAGGAAGCUGUCCAGGACUCUCAUAUGGACCCAGAGUGGAUGAACUGGGGCAACUAAUGAAGCUGUUUCAUAGUGCCACAUGGGGCCACUGCUUUGUUAUGAAAACUCUUGAAGAUAAAGGUCAAGAGGUAGAUUAGCUCCUGAUCCAGAGAGGUGUGUUGACAGAACUGCAUGUGAGGGAAAGACUUAGAAUGCAUGGCUGCAUUUCCAACCCCAAAGGCCCUGCAAGAUCAUGAGCUUUCCUUUGACCAAGGAAACUGGAUGCAUCUUCCACAAACAUCUGUCAGCUCCCAAAAUGGCUUCAGAAGUAGCUGAAGAGAAAUAUAAGAUGCUCCCAUCUCACAGGGGCUAAAGGGCUGUUUUCUCAGCACCCCAUCUUGUGCUGGCCUAAUUUGGUAACACAAGACUAAUCCCAUCUAUGGUGACCCCUUGAUUGUUGGACGUGAACUGUAAUACAAUAGUUCUUUAAAUAACACUUCGUAUUUUUACAUAUCAAAUGACUUCUACAUCUACACUCACCUAGAAAAGGAAAGUUGACAGUUAAUCUACUUGGAAUGUAAACUCUUUGGGGGAGGAAUGGUCUUUUUAUUCUAUGCCUGUACAACACCUAGCACAGGCUAGAUGGGGGGGGGGGGUCCCAGUGCCUGAGGGGUGCUACUAAGGUGUUUCUUUAAUAGUACUACACCACCACAACCUCCUUUAAGCAAUGAAAACCAGCUAGCUGUUCAAUAAUAGCUAUAUAGCACUAAGGUAAAUACAGACUCAAGUAUGUCCAGCACCAGAGCUGUGGUGGUGCCUCUGUUAAAGGAUUAGAGAAGUAAAACAAAGCAGGAAUUACCAUACUGGGUCAUAGCAGGGGUCCAUCUAACCCACUGUCCUGUCUCAAACAAGGGACGGUAUCCAGUGCUUUGGAGGAAGGUGCAGGACACUUUACCUAUAUGGAAAUAUUUUCUUACCCCCUGUCUCAGAUAGCAAUAGCAGUACAGAGAACAAAGGGAGAUUACUGCUGGUUGAUCACCUGUCAAAUGAAACCUUCACCGGUAAUGAGAAGGACGCUGUGUCACAUGUCUACUUCCUUGGGAAGAAUGAAGAGCUGGGAAUGGACACCAUGUUGACAUAUGCAGGUGUCUGUUCAGGUUACUUUGAAACUUCACCAUUUCCAAGAGAACUGAUCCAAUGGUCCCCUCUGGUGUUAAUUUUCCAAUACUGCAGCUUCAUAUCUAGAGCAACAUUUGGACAGGACAGAGGCUCCACACAAUAGUCUUUGAGUAAACCACCAAAAGAUGGAGUACUCAGCUUUAAAAAACCCAAACAUAUUUUCAAGUUAAUGCUCCUUAAAAAUAAGACUCUGGCUUCAAUCAGGAACAGAUACUCUACCACCUUCUCUCCAGUUCCUUUAUAGUCCUUUUAUCAAAUCAUCUAGCUGGGUGGAGUCUUUCAGUCUUAAUCUCAUUACAUUUUGGAGAGGCAAGUAUGAAAUAGUGCAUUGAGCAUGAGAUGGGGGCCAGGAGCUCCUGAGUCCUAAUCCUUGCUUUGUCACCAGUUUGACAGGGGGCUUAGUGCACGCUCCUGUAGCUCUAUGGUCUAGCUCCCAAUCUGUGAAAUGAGGAUACUGGCUCACCACUACUUGACCUGAAAGGAAAGAUGUUGAGGCUCAAUUAGUCUUUUCAACAUAUGUAAAUAUCUGUAAAGGCUAAACUACUGACUUUUUUUUUUUAAACAGGAGGGAUUAGAUCCAUAAAGGAAGGAAUGAAUGUCGUAACUAUUACUUGCAUUAAGAACUUGCCUUGUUUCCUAUUGAUCCAUCCGGGUACCUAUGUGAUCCUCAUCACCCCAGUACACAAACACCUUCAUUUACUUAAAAUGUCAGUGUUUCUCUCUCUCUCUCUUCCUUCCCCGCCACCAAGAGGCGGGGUGGUCUUUUAAUUUGAGAGAGAGCCAGGGCGAAAAGGUGGGUUUUACAUUUGGCUCUGAAUCCAUUCUUAAUUCUUGUGGCAAUGAGUUCCAUAAUGGAUAGGGACCUCCAUCUACUCUUACUUUAAGAAUAAUCAUCCUUCAAUCGCUAUAGCAUGCUUCUUCAAAACCUAGAGUACUCUUUCAAAGCCUGUGAUUUCUUUUUUUUUUUUAAAGAACUUCCAAGUAGAAAAGGUCAGUCAAUUAACAGG